rnacentral:rRNA from 1 species
CCAAAGGGGUAUUGCUUAGUACGGCGAGUGAGCGGCAAAAGCUCAAAUUUGAAAUCGGCCACCAGGUCGAGUUGUAAUUUGUAGAUUGUAUCUUGAGAGCGGAUUAAAGUCUGUUGGAACACAGCGCCUUAGAGGGUGACAGCCCCGUAAAAUCUAUUCUCAUUGUAAGAUACUUUCGAAGAGUCGAGUUGUUUGGGAAUGCAGCUCUAAGUGGGAGGUAAAUUCCUUCUAAAGCUAAAUAUUGACGAGAGACCGAUAGCGAACAAGUACUGUGAAGGAAAGAUGAAAAGCACUUUGAAAAGAGAGUGAAAAAGUACGUGAAAUUGUUAAAAGGGAAGGGUAUUGAAUCAGACUUGGUGCUGUUGUUCAACUGUGUUUCGGCAUAGUGUACUCAGCAGUACUAGGCCAAGGUGGGGUGUUUGGGAGUGAAAAAGAAGUAGGAAGGUAACUCUUCGGAGUGUUAUAGCCUACUUUCAUAGCUCCUCAGGCGCCUCAGGACUGCGCUUCGGCAAGGACCUUGGCAUAAUGAUUCUAUACCGCCCGUCUUGAAACACGGACCA